UUUAAUUCGAUGAUACGCGAGGAACCUUACCUAGGCUAGAAUGCGCGUGACCGGUUCAGAGAUGAGCCUUUCCUUCGGGACACAAAGCAAGGUGCUGCAUGGCCGUCGUCAGCUCGUGCCGUGAGGUGUUAGGUUAAGUCCCGCAACGAGCGCAACCCCUACAUUUAGUUGCCAUCAGGUUAAGCUGGGGACUCUAGAUGGACUGCCUGCGCAAGCAGUGAGGAAGGCGGGGACGACGUCAGGUCAUCAUGGCCCUUACGCCUAGGGCUACACACGUGCUACAAUGGACGGUACAGAGGGUCGCUACCUGGUGACAGGAUGCCAAUCUCACAAAGCCGUUCUCAGUUCGGAUCGAAGUCUGCAACUCGACUUCGUGAAGCUGGAAUCACUAGUAAUCGCGUAUCAGCAAUGACG
rnacentral:rRNA from 1 species